GAGACAAAACCACGUGGAAGCAAAGCUGCGUUCUGGGCGAUCAGCCCCGGCCUGCGUUGCUGCACGCUCUCCUGCAAAGCUCGAGCUGUUUGCACGGUGGUUGCCACGUGUCCGCCCGUUCGUUGCUGCAGCUGCUCGUGAUGCCGGGGUACCCGCGUGCCGGCACCGUCGUCCCCGGCGUGGCUGAAGGGCAAGCUGCCUCCUUGCUUUAAUGUUUUCUUCCACUCAUUUGGAAAGGAUCGGAGAGAAAACCCCGCUGGUGUUGCAGGGGGUGGCGCGCCGCAUUGGUCGCUUCCGAAGCGGGGCUGAUGUUACGUGGUGUCGCUGGGUGCGCAGAGCUGCUUUUGCCUACCACCUCUAGAACGGAAGACAGGAAAUCAAGUGACAUCUAUGCUAACUGUAGCAGUUUUCAACACAAGGAUUCUGUUGUGCUUGAAGCCUUAUCCUUUCUCGGUGAUGUAAAGUCUCUGCGGAGCGUACUGAGAAGAGCAUCUUAAAGCUAUGUCUGAUGUUAGGCCACUGCAUGCCACCCUUGAGCACUGAGAAGGUAUACACACAUCCAUGGUACUCAAACAGGAAGAAAGAAUUUAAUGAUGCACCUUUGCUGCAGAUGCCAUUGUGUCAGACUGCCCCUCUGCUGCCAUAUGCCACAUGGCAACAAAAUGCAAGGGAAUACUGCUGAGAAGGUUUAACUUUCUACUUCCACACCACCAAUAUCCACCUCUGAUGGUCUUGCCAAAGUAAGGAAGAGCAUCAAUAAAAAUCAGAUUUGCAGAUCCUGUCUCACUGACAUAAGGACGUGGCAGCCAGUGGAAAACAACACAAAACAUUUCUUCAUAACAUGCAUGAAUGUCAGGUAGGGAUACAACUGAUUGAUCUCCUCUAAACUGUGUGUAUACAUAGAUAUAUAUACAUAAAUAUAUACAAAUAUGUAUAAAUAAAUAUAUAGAUAGAUAUAAAUAUAUAUUUUUGGAAUUUAAGUUUUAGAUUUUGAGCACAGAUUUACAUAUCAGCUGCUCGCAAUCUCCCAAGUCCUAUCUACUUCCAAGUCCUAUCUAGACUUCCAUUUUUAAUGCAGGUGAAAAUGAAUACUUAGAAUUGAGUAUUGAACAUAGAACUUAGUGUUGGAUUUCUAAAUAUAAAACUAUUUUGGAAACAAGUUCAGCUAUUAAAAAUGUAUCUGCAUUAAAACUGCUGGGUUUAAAUGUGUAAAUACACACUGAGAAGCAAAGUUUUUGUUACAGUAAUACUAAUCAAAGAAUAACAGACUUUUUUUCACUUCUUUUAAGAAGAGCACAAAGUCUGUAUUUUAUUGUGGAAAGAUGACUUGCUAAGCAUGUAAGGUAAGAAUGCUUAUGCUGUGCUUCUAAUUUUUAUCCUUUUUAUUUAUGAGGCUUUUAUGCAUAUUUUUAAAGUUUUCAGUUAUGCUGCUAUUAAAAAAAAUAAAAUCAAGUGAUUUAAUCACUGUUAAUGUGGUUGAAUUGCAAGAUACAGUCUCUUAAAAGUAGCAGAUUAAUCAGUCUUAGUGUAAAUACCUCAAUCAGAAUAAGUAGUCUGUUAAGAAUGAAACCCUGACCACUGAAGACUGGAAUUUCUCUUUGUCAGGUUCCGGGUUUAACAGCAGUUACCUUGUUUUCUGAACUGAGGAUAUUUACAUUCUCAGCUUUUCUACACACAAAAUAGUGAUAAGUUCAUCUUUCUUACUAGAAACAAUAAGAUCUUGGUGUAACAGUUACACAAGAAGAAGAUGGUGUUUGAGAAAGCACAGGUAAAAGUCAAAGAUUGGACAUACUUGAUUAAUUACCAUUUUUCUUCAUGUAGCUGCUAAAUGACUUAUAAAUCUAUCAUGGAGUCAAGACCUCAUACACGAUACAUUAAUAUAAAAUAAGCCAGAGACUUUCCAUUGUGAAUUUUCUUUCCCUUUAGUAAGAACGAUUUUCUCUGCCUUAAUAAGCCUGUUUUCUGUUCAACUUUCCUUUACUGUGCUGUCCCCUUGGAACAGCAAAAAUUUCAUCCAGAUUCAUGCAACUCGGUUGAGGAAAUCUGCUUCAUGGUGUGGGUGGGUGGCUAAACCAGGGUUGUUUAUUUAUCUGUGAGCUGAAAUUUCUUUUAAAAAAUGUGUUUAUUCCAUUGGUUAUCUGUGUCUAUCUGUCUAUCAUUAACAGCAGUCCCUCAGGUAUAUCUGGAGUUUGUUCUGCUUUUUACCCAUUUUUUAGGCGGGGAAAUAUACUCCAAUCAAGAAAAGCACUUUUAUUACUUGAAUUUGCUUCAAACUGGACUCACGUCCCAUAAUUAGACCAGAUCCUGUGUCCAAUGUACAUGAUAAACAACUUACUUACGUAAGUACUGGAAGACUGUUUCCUUUAAAGGCUGUAACAGAACAUAUGCUUGGGGGCAGUUAGCUGAAUCCCUUGAUUUUGCCAGUUGUGAUAUUUAAAAAAGCUACCUGUUCCGUGGUGUACAUUAGCAAUAUGUAACAUACUGCUACAUCCUUACUUUGGAAAAAAACAAAACAAAACAUGCUUCUAGUUAGUUGGAUGCAUUUUUAGGUAGCAACAGUAAUGGAGCUGUCCCUAGAUAAUUGAAAAGCAUAUCCUCUUCCAUGACUCCAAAGGCCAGGGGAGUUUCAUGUACACACUUAGUUGCAAGUAUAUAUUAAGCACAUGCAGUGGAGGAUAUAGUGUCAUUAAAAAAAAAAAUAAAAAUAAAAAAAAAAGACUUUUUUGGCAGCUCUCAGUGAAAUAAAAUUAGUGUUUUUUUACUGUUAGAUUCCAAAUGCUAAGUGACAAUAUUAUGCAUGGGCUAAGGUACUGCACCAUGUAGCUCUCCACCAUGAGUUGGUUAAACAAACUGAAGUAUCAGUUCCCCAUGAUGUGGAAAAAAGUAAUAGUAAAGAGAAGCAAACUGGCUCAACAAGGAGCUGUUUUAUCAGAACACAGCCUUGGACUUACCGAAGGUCACUCAGCAGUACACGCAGGACAGCAUUACCAUAGUCAGUGGAACAAACUGCCCACCCACAAUAAAUGAAGUGCACUAUUUCACUAGCCAGUAUCUCAGGAGACUGCCAACUUGUUGCUAAGCGCUCUGCACCCAUUCUUAAUUCCCACAGGGAGACAUUCUGCCCAUCUUAACUUCUUUAUUUUUAGGAGAAAGAAACAAACCACACAAAAGCCCUAAGAGCAACUGCAGUGCAUUGCUACUCAUCUCUUCCUUUGCCAAAGAAGCAGUUCUUGCUGUAUAGCUUCUCUCUUGCAGCAACAGAAAACCUCCAACUGUAAGAAAGGUAUUGAGCAACCUGCCAUUUGCCACAGACCUGGAGCCUUAAUGGAUGCGACUUUCCUGGCACAUAGUUGUCCAAGGAUACCUUCUACUUUGCAGCAUGCUAGUGUAUGAUUCUAACUCAUUGCAUUAUUACCAUCAAAGCUGAAAUGUUCAUAGAAAUAUCUUGCGUGCAAUUUCUGAUGUAACUAGCAUGGUAACUCAGUGAGGGAGACACAUUUAAAUUAAAUUGAACUUAUAAGCUAGAAGUCAGAAACAUUAAAGCAUCUGCAUUUGACACAGAAGUAGACUUACGUAAGUGGUUAAGUUAGUCAGUCACGUUUUUGAGAGGACAAGAAAAAAAUUCAAAGAUAAAGAAGAUGUUUGCAGAAAAAUCAGCGAAGCAGCCUCCAAUGUACAGGUAUGGCUGGCUAAUACAAGAGAAAUUCUUUCUUUGCUACUUUGCAAAUUGUGUGAUAAUGCACCACUGAGAUUUGUUUUUUCUUCUUGUUAGGGUCAAAAGAGACCCUCUCUUGCCAAACACAGCAUUUCAAGAUGAAACACAAGUAGAUACUGAUUGUAAGUAACACAAAAAACACUUAUGUGCUUGUUGGGAGUCACAGAGGGAGAUGAUCACGUAAGUUAAUUUAAUGGUGUGAUACACAGUUCUUUCCUUUUUUUAACUCGCUGUUGAAACGAGUAUGCUCUCAGCAUUCUGGGCCUAUCGAUGCACAGUGCUUGUUAAAAAAAAGUAUCAGAUUAUUUAUACAAAUGCAAUUACUGUCCAUGUACGUACCACAAAUGUUACCCCAUUAUUUUGUGCCUGAAGAGACAUAAAUUUGAAUUUAAUUAACAGAAAGUAUUGUAUAUUUAUUUCCUGCUUAAUCACACCUUGUGAAAACUUAAGAGAAUCCUUACCAUCUUCACUUGUGGAGUAUACAAACUGACACCCUGAUAGAUUUAUUAAAAAAAUACUCAAAAGUAUUUUAUGUGAGCAUGAAAGACCAAACACAACCCAGGAAUGUUUAAUGGAUAAAAAAGCAGAACUGAAUGAACAGCUCUUCAAUUUUUGUGUAUGUACUCCUUGCCCGCAGGACUUCGACCAUCUACUGAGCCGCUGUUGGGUAUGAAUGUCCUGGAGAGGCUGCUGUCUACAGAACUGAAAGUGGUAAGACUAUUUCCUUAUGUGUCUUGCAGGAAGGUUAUACCAAUAAAAUCCAAGUUAAUCUCAGGAGGUAGAGGUUAAAAAGUCAAUCAGAGAAUUUAAAAUGGCUGUUUUACGUCUACAAUGCUGUAAGUUGGUAUUCCAUGUCAUAACAUCACGCUAAACUGUCAGAGCUGAGAUGGCUGCUGGGAAGCUGCACUUCUUCCCACAUGGUUUCCAGGAGUAAAGGAGGUGACAUACCUAUGACCUUACUUCCAGCGGUACCGCCAUUUCCGCAGCAUGGUUAGAAGGCAGUUCUCUCUCCCUUGGCUUGUCUGUGGUCCUGCACAACCACUACUAUUAAUUAGCCAAACUACAUGCAUCCUCUGUACGAGGUACAAAGACUGUCCUAAGUCACCAUUUCUGCAUCUGCAGGAGCAGAUCUUGCUGGCAAUUUACAGCUGUCUUCUGUAUAUCUGAUUCUGACACUGACAUUUAGAAAAGACAGGCAUGAAGUGGUAUAGUAUCCACAAUGCACAUUAUAAAAUCAACAUCAGUUACUAAGCCUGGAGAAGUAGCAAAAUCAGAAUUAUCAAUAUCAAAAUGCUGACAAAUAAACCAGCCAUGAUAGGCUGCAGAACAGCAAUUGAAGAAAAUAAAAUUCAUCUUUCAGAAGUAGCUCAAUUAGUAGAAUCAUAUUCUAGAAUUUAAAUUAAUACUGUUCUUGCAUUGUUUGGGGUUUUUUUUUACUAAUGCUUUCAUUGUUGCAAAAUCAAACAAACAGCAGGAGAUAAAAGUAACACACUUUGCAGUAAAAAAUAAUGUACUCAUCAAAAAUUUAUGUUUUGUGCUAUAAAUGCACCUAGCACAUCUGCUGUGUCGCUGUGACAGAUGUUUAUUAAUAUGGAUCUUCAAUCAUAUUCCUUGAUUGCUAAUGAUUCAGUAAUUCAUCUUCUAAAUACUGUCCAAGUUUUUGAUUAUAUGUUGAACCAAUUACCAAAAUAUUUCCAUAUAAUCUGCGCAUCUCCACAGCCUCAGAAAUGCACUAUUAAUUUUCAGUUUUGUAUCAAAAUCAAUGUCAAGUUCCAUCACAGCAAUUCCUACAAGGAGUGCUGUUUAUAUGCAUGCUGUAUGAAAAGACUUGAACAAACAACUUCUAAAAGAUAAAAAUGUGUUCUGUUAUGGGAGUGAUCUCUUGAGCGAAUAUGUUCUGUGGUAAGGCUGGUGACCACCGAACAGAUAACUGAGCUCAGUUCUUUCAGUUGUCCUCAGGAAGACCAAUUCCUAAAUAUCACUUCCUCAUGCUCUAGCAAAACUGACCUUUGUAUGCCUUGCUACGUGCAACUUGAGGACUACGCUUGAAUUCCAUUGAAAAAGCACCCAGCUUCAAAGCACCAUGUAAAGUAAUCUCAGAUUUUCAGAAUAAAUGCACAAUGAAUAAAAAGCUUCAGAAACAGACUA